CACAACUGCAACCAGCACUUUAAUAUAAAACAAGCCCAUGGACAGCACCGGCCCUUCUCACAGACAGGGGGGCAGGUGUGGCUCAUUGUAAUUAGGCCAGCUGCUCCUCAUUGCUUAAUCAUUAUGAAAGGGCCUUGCUUUCAGGUGUAAGGAGUCUGUUUUUCUGAAUGGUCGCUCUUGUGUUUGAAGUUUUAUUUGUUGUGGACUUUUGGCCUCUGCAGAAUCUUUUUAUUAAUGAAAUGUUUUCUGUUCUUUUUCAGUUCCUGGACUAAUUUAAGGCCAAGUGUAUUUUUUACUUAAUUUUUUCCACCGUGUUAUACAGUGGCCAUCCCCAGCACUGCAUCAGAAGGGCUACAAGGCUAAAGAUUAUCGGCCCCUGUGAACACCUGACAGGCUUCUCAGCAGGAAGUGCAUGAACAUGUGGGAGUCUGUUCAUGCUCUGUCCCUGUACACAGGAAGGAAUCUGCCACUGAGUCAUUGUGUCUGAACAUGUGCCCAGUUGUUCUAAAACAUACAGCACAGCAUCAAUAACUGAGAACACAAGAAAGCUGUCGCUGUGCAUACAGGAAGUGUUUUUGUUUCUGAAGGUACAGGGAGGGCUCUGCAAGCAAGAGGCCUAGCCUUCAGAAAGCAUAUCCAGCUGAUCUAAAGCAUGCAGGAGAGUACCCUAAUCCAGAAGAAGGUUUUCUCUGGCUAAGCAGUGGCACACAUAUUGGUAGAUGUGCCAGAUCCAGCCCUGCACUUUACAGUUGAUCCAGAAAAGAACACUGCGUGAAAACCAGGCCUGAUCCCCCAAAAAGAGAGCAACUGAAGUAAAAAGGACGGAGUGUGGCACAGUGGGUAAGGAACUGCGCUUGUAACCGAAAGGUCGCAGGUUCGAUUCCAGGGUAAGGACA